GAUUGUUUCUUUGUGGAGUUUUUGUGGUGAGCCUCAAUGUUGGUGAGCAUUCAUCUCAAAGCCUCAGCACUGUUAAUGUCCUCAGAAUUUUGUGCAGUUUAGAGCAGAAGUGGACCUGAACUCAGUGAUCCUGACUGUGGGGGAGGUGUAGAGCAUCUUCUACUCAGGAGAUCCAUAUUUCUGUGUAUUCCUCUGGAAAUCUCUGCACACCUGAGGUCUUCUGAAGAGUCCAGCUCCUGGUUCUACACAGGAUGACCCAAAAUUCAAUUCAUUUGAAACCAUUGUGCAAAUGCUUCUCGAACUCCAGCAGCUUUGGGCCAUUAUCGUUGCUGUUUCAGCAUCCUAACACCCCCUGGUGAAGAACCUUUUUCUAACACCUGACUUGAAUCUCCCAUGACACAGCUCCAUGUUAUGCAAGGCCUCUUUACCCUCAAGGGAAUUAGAAGCUCCUCCCAGUUUAAUAUCCACAAACCUACUUAUUAGACUUUCUAGUCUUGAAUUCAACUAAUUUAUGUAAAUUUUAAAGAGGACUGAUCAGAGGCCAGUGUCUUUCUCCCUGUCAUAUGUAUUUCUAAGCUUUUUACUUUCAAAUUUGAGCAUAAACUGUGUUAUCACUUAAUCCCUAAAUGUAUGAGAUCAAUUAAUGUAUCUCUGGGAAUGUGGAGUCUAAAUUAUAAUAAUGUGGCAGUUUUCAUUGCAAGAGUUAUUAUAUAUUUGCAAUCCAAUUACAGAACAGUUUCAUGAUAAUUAAGAAGUUAUUUGUUGAACAUGGAGUGAGACAUUACAGGAAAUUGCUAUAUUGUCCAAUUUACCCAUAAUUAUUUGUCUAAAAAUAAGGGUGGAGUUUUGUGUAUUAUGCUCUCAGAGAGCUGCUUUAUGAGAAAGAGAUCAUUGUUUAGAUCUGAGUAAGUAUUUAGUAAGUAUUUUAGUGCUUCUCCACUCAUCCCCAACACUUUGCAUUCAAUCUUUCCUCUACAAACCAUGAAAAUACUUCUGGUGGACAGGCAGCUCUUCAGCAUGUCCUCAGGUGCUUUUUGAGAUAAGAGAUGAAAAGUAGAAAAGCAUCUGUAUAGUGGAUGAUAAGGGUGAAAACAUACAUUCACAAUGAUCUGUAGUAUCUCUAUGAUGUAUGUGUAGAACCUUUAUUUUUUUACUCCUUUAAAAGAAAUGGAGCUUUAUACUUGAUGUUAAGGUUGGGACCAUUAAUUGGGAAUUGUCAGAGUGAACUGUGAGUGCAGUGAGGUCAAGCUAAGAUUACAAAGCUGAAGCACAGUAAAACUAUUCCAAUGCAUGGAAACUGCACAACUUAUCUACUGGUGUAUGUGUUGUUUCAAAAUGCUAUGAAUAACAGUGAUCUUCAUGGCUGUGGUAUUCAUUAGAGAAAUAUUAUAUACUUGAGGAAAACUUCAGUUAAACUUUAGAUUGCAGAUCUGAUACUUAUUUGCUUACUAGCUCUUUAGGAACCAAGUUGUAUUGUUUAAUCCCAUCCAGCUUUAGAGCAUGGUCUUAAAUAAACCUGGCUCUCAAUAGCCUUACCUCAUUUUGAGAAAGAGGCAUUAAAAUUUUGUGGUAAACCAUAAAGCAGGGACAUCCCUUUUAACCACUACUUCGCACUUUUAUAUCAAGGAGAAGACCUUAAAGAGCCCCCUUUUUCCUCAGUAAGAGGGGAGAUGCUCUGGAUAAGACUGAGAAUCCACCAAUUUGCUGCAGCUGGUUGUUGAAAAGCAAAAGUUAUGCAUAUGUAGUAAUUUAUCCUAUUUUCUCAAAGUCAAGGAUAUGCACAGAAAAGUGUAUUGCUGUUGCUGAAAUGUUUGUCAUCUUGCAGCAGGGAGAGAUUUCAUGUAGAAAGCACAUAUCCUGUCUAUUCUCUUCCCAGUCCUUGUGCAUUAUGUGCUCUGAAACCCACUGUGAAGAAUAAGUUAACUUAUUUCAUUCAUUUAGCAGUUAAAACGUGAAUUAUUGUUAAUGCUCAAAAGGGAUUGCUGCAUUUUCUCAUUCUCAUUACAGCCUAGGACCAUUUGCUCAUAAAUGGCAAACUGUAUUAUUACCACUUAGUUUGCUAAUACCUUAGGUCCCACGUAUAUAUGUUUUAUAACAACAUUUUAAUACAAAUUUUUGGAUAAGGAUUACUCUUCUCCUGAUACUGAAAACACUAUCUGGUUGAUCUUACAAAUAUGUAUCAGAAGUGUAUGUAUCAUUUGACCUAAGUGAGGGACGAUAACAUCAAAUUUUCUUUAUGAACACUUAUUCUCUGUAUACAGCUGUACUUUUUAUGAUACUACUUACAGUUGGCCCACUGUGGUGGCAUUUCUAUGGAAACAAAUCUUUGUAAUUAAUUUUGGUUUAAGGACUAGAACAACAUGACACAAGAAACAAUCAUAUUUCUGGUGUUUGAGGUGAUAAUUCUACAUAGAAAAUGAUUAUUUGUAUGCUUGAAAAAAGUUCACUUUCUUUCUUUGUCAGUUUGUCCUGAAAAGUUAAAUGACUUUCUGCAUGCAUCAAGGUCAUAAAUUACCUGUUACCAUAACAUGAGAAAGUAUCAUCAUAUAACAAUACAUUUACAAAGAUACUAUCAGAACCCUUACAACUAUUUUUUGGGAGGUCUCUUUCAAAUGUUAAUUACUUUUCAGUCAGUAUUUGAUGAAACAGGUUAUUUUCAUUAAGCCACAUUAUGGCUAAGAAAAUCACAAGACCAUUUUAGAUAAACAAAGCUAAAUAACUUGGUUACAUCAAAUUCAGAUUGUAGCAGAAUAACCUUUAUUGAUUCCAAGGCAGAAACUUUCAAUAAAAACAGCCACCAACAGAUAUAUUUAAUCAUUCUAAGAUUUUAUUUUCCAUAGCAGCUGAGCAUCCGUCAUAUCCAGUGACUUCCUGGAGACUUUGGUUGUUUUGUUUUUUCGUUGUUCAAAAUGGACAUCCACACACCACUUUGCAUGUGAAUAUUCUUGUCAAGUAACCCAUUCUACUCCAUCUCUGCUGCAUGAGGAACACAAAACAUUUUACUACAAUGAGAAUUUAUAUGCAGAUGAGUUUUCCAUUGCAGUCAGAAGCAGAUUCAAAUUCCUGGAGUGCCUGGGAGCCAGACCUCCAAAUCAGGUCCUCAAUGGUUUUUUGAGUUGUGCCAUGACAGAUCAAGAAAUACGAAGAAAACAGGCCCACAACUGCAAUUUAAAGUCGGUGUGAGUUUGGGAGCAUGCUGGAUCAUUUCCGCUGUUCAGAUGGAAGGUCUCAGACUUGCUGAAAAAUGAAGUGGCCUUGAAGAUAUAAUUUCUACAGUAAUCUCUUCAGAGAUGUCUCUCUUCUGAUCCACUAAAAAUGGGGUAGCUGAGGAUUUCAAAUGCAACAAUAAAAGCUGGGCAAGCUCUGUCAGUCACAUAUUUCCAUCCUCUUCUCUCUAUGUCUCCUAAAUAAUAAAACUGCCCCAGGAAUGACUCUGAGGAAAAGAGUCUUCCAAGGAGAGGUCCCACGAAGGAGAAUCAACCCUGCAGAAGCAAACUGUCACUUCUUAUAAGCAUCUGAAGCCAGCCCUCCUCUUGUGACUUGGUGGAGCCAUGCUACCAUACUGCCUCACUUUGCUCCCUUGACAUGCUGCAAUGAGAGGGAGCAUCAUUUUUCCCUUUUCAGAUGACAGUCAAAAGUCUGAGUGAAGGUAACAAAAAGGUAACCCUGACUUUUUUGGCACAGCUGAAAGAAAGUAUACUUUCAUACACCAUAUUAGAAUUGAGCAUAUUUCUCACAGCCUAUUAUGUUUUUUUAAGAUACCACCCCUCAUCCUUUUUGCAAGAUUCAAGUGGACUCCAAAGAUAAAUGUGCUUUUGGGUCAUUUGUUUCAGUUACAAGUUCGUUUGAAAAGGGAAGGCAGAUUUAUUACUAAUAAAUAAUCUGUGCAAAAUCUGAGAUGCACAAAACCAAGAGUCAAGAAAAUAAGGUUUUAAAUCUCAAAAUUAACUAUGGGCAUAAAAAAAAAAAAUAAAGAAAAGAAAAAAAAAAAAAA